rnacentral:rRNA from 1 species
AUAUCAAUAAGCGGAGGAAAAGAAACCAACAGGGAUUGCCCUAGUAACGGCGAGUGAAGCGGCAAAAGCUCAAAUUUGAAAUCUGACCUUUUAGGUCCGAGUUGUAAUUUGUAGAGGAUGUUUCGGGUAAGAUCUAGGCCUAAGUUCCUUGGAACAGGACGUCAUAGAGGGUGAGAAUCCCGUACGUGGCUCAUGAUCGCACCCAUGUGAAACUCCUUCGACGAGUCGAGUUGUUUGGGAAUGCAGCUCAAAAUGGGUGGUAAAUUUCAUCUAAAGCUAAAUAUUGGCCAGAGACCGAUAGCGCACAAGUAGAGUGAUCGAAGGAUGAAAAGCACUUUGAAAAGAGAGUUAAAAAGCAUGUGAAAUUGUUGAAAGGGAAGCGCUUGCAGCCAGACUUGUUUAAUAGGGUUCAGCCGUCGUUUUCGUCGGUGUAUUUCCUUAUUAUCAGGCCAGCAUCAGUUUAAGUGGAAGGUUAAAGGCCUUGGGAAUGUGGCAUCCUCCGGGUUGCUUUAUAGCCCUUGGUGUAAUGCUUCCUACCUAGACUGAGGCACGCGUUCGCUAGGAUGCUGGCGUAAUGGCUGUAAGCGA